AGUUGUUCUCAGUUCGGAUUGUAGUCUGCAACUCGACUACAUGAAGCUGGAAUCGCUAGUAAUCGUAGAUCAGCAUGCUACGGUGAAUACGUUCCCGGGUCUUGUACACACCGCCCGUCACACCACGAGAGUUUGUAACACCCGAAGCCGGUGGAGUAACCUUUUAGGAGCUAGCCGUCGAAGGUGGGACAAAUGAUUGGGGUGAAGUCGUAACAAG
rnacentral:rRNA from 1 species